GACGAACGCUGGCGGCGUGCUUAACACAUGCAAGUCGAACGGAAAGGCCCUGCUUUUGUGGGAUGCUCGAGUGGCGAACGGGUGAGUAACACGUGAGUAACCUGCCCUUGACUUUGGGAUAACUUCAGGAAACUGGGGCUAAUACCGGAUAGGAGCUCCUGCCGCAUGGUGGGGGUUGGAAAGUUUCGGCGGUUGGGGAUGGACUCGCGGCUUAUCAGCUUGUUGGUGGGGUAGUGGCUUACCAAGGCUUUGACGGGUAGCCGGCCUGAGAGGGUGACCGGCCACAUUGGGACUGAGAUACGGCCCAGACUCCUACGGGAGGCAGCAGUGGGGAAUAUUGCACAAUGGGCGGAAGCCUGAUGCAGCAACGCCGCGUGCGGGAUGACGGCCUUCGGGUUGUAAACCGCUUUCGCCUGUGACGAAGCGUGAGUGACGGUAAUGGGUAAAGAAGCACCGGCUAACUACGUG
rnacentral:rRNA from 1 species